UACGUAGGGGGCAAGCGUUGUCCGGAUUUAUUGGGCGUAAAGAGCGUGUAGGCGGUUUGGUAGGUCCGUUGUGAAAACUCGAGGCUCAACCUCGAGACGCCGAUGGAAACCAUCAGACUAGAGUCCGGGAGAGGAGAGUGGAAUUCCUGGUGUAGCGGUGAAAUGCGUAGAUAUCGGGAGGAACACCAGUGGCGAAGGCGGUUGCCUGGAGCUUUGCUGACGCUGAGGCGCGAAAGCGUGGGGAGCGAUCCGG
rnacentral:rRNA from 1 species